GUAUAAUAUGCAGCCAUCUUCUAUCUCGUCUCAGCAAGAUUUAUUUAUGUUUUUUGUUAGCAUCACGUCUCAUCAAGGAUUGCCAAGUCUGAUAUGAUGUGCACGCACUUUCUUCGACAAUCUCACUGUUUAAUAACGUUCAUGCAUGCCUUGUGUAACGUAGAUGACAUGGCCAAGAACUCCCACCUCAAGGACUUGCAGGCGCUUGGCCCCUUGCAAGUCCUCCGCGCCGACCUCGACGAAGAAGGCAGCUUCGACGAGGCCGUUGCCUGCUGCGACUACGCCUUCCUCGUCGCCGCUCCGAUCAACCUCGCCUCAGGGGAGGAUCCAGAGGUGCGUGCACAACUCGUUUGAAUUCAGUAAUGAAUAGCCCGUCGCUUCAUCGUGUGAUGGAUGGAUGGACGCCACGAGCGGCACACGCAGCUCUGAGUGCUAGCUAUAGCUGUUUGAUUAAUUUCUCGGCGAUUUCCUUCAGAAAGAGCUGAUCGAGCCUGCCGUCCGGGGGACGCUGAACGUGAUGAGGUCGUGCGUGAAGGCCGCCACGGUGCGGCGCGUGGUCCUCACCUCGUCGGCGGCCGCGGUGUACAUGAGGCCGGAUCUGCGAGGCGGCGACGACGGGCAUGUCCUGGACGACGAGUCCUGGUCCGACGUCGAGUACCUCAGAGCCAACAAGCCGCCGACCUGGGGGUACAGCGCGUCCAAGGUGCUCGCGGAGAAGGGGCGACCAGGUUCGCGGAGGAGCACGGCGUCAGCCUCGUCACCGUCUGCCCCGUCAUCACCGUCGGCGCCGCGCCGGCGCCGACCACCCGCACCUGCAUCCCUUACUGCCUCUCACUUCUAUCAGGCGACAAGGCAUCGCUGGGCGUGCUCAAAGUACUCGAGGAGGUCUCCGGCGGGGUGCAGCUGGUCCACAUCGACGACCUCUGCCGCGCCGAGCUGUUCGUCGCCGAGGAGGCCGCCGCCGAGGGGAGGUACAACUGCUGCAGCCACAACACGACCGUCGUCGAGCUGGCGCGUUUCCUGGCACACAAGUACCCGCAAUACGACGUAAAACGGAAUCUGCAGUAAGGAUAUAGAUAUUGUUCGCACCCAGAGCUAACUCUGAAUUUUAAUACUGUAUUAUUCUGGCAUUAGUGCUGCAAUGGUCAGUUGGUCACGGCGAGUGAAUGAAGUGACACAGUAUGUAUGCUCCUGCGUGUCAGCACCUACGAUCAGGAUGAGCUCCUGGAGAAGCCGAGGGCCUGCAUUUUGUCGGCGAAGCUGGCCAGGGAAGGGUUCCAGUUCAAGCACAACACCCUGGAUGAGAUCUACGACAAUGUCAUCGAGUACGGCAAGGCCUUGGGUAUUCUGCCCAACUGAUGAGUCAUGAGACACACACAUGACGUUUGCAUCGUCGAUCGCUCCAAGGACCACGGCGCGAAGCAUUUUGAUUUUCACAUUUUCGGGGCUGUCUGUAUGGAGCAUGUGCAUGCUACUACUUGAAUGUUCAAUAGCAAAUCGACAGGAGCAAUGUACAAAACACACCUCGUGGUAUUGUGUUGGUCAUCAGUCGGUUCAAAAAAUUGAAAGAAGGUUGGCUGAAUAAUGUCCUCCAUUGCUAUUGGUUGUACUUAUAACAGCAGUGUUAAUUUCUUAUCCAGCUAAGUUUGCCGGUUUAUUUCUUACUGUAUGCAGCAAGCAAACAUUCGCUGAUUUAUCAGCAGAACCGUCUCAGUUUCUACUCCCUGCUAGCUGCUGAACGACAGUAGGAUGCCCAAACGAGACACACUUAGGAAGCACCAUCUGCCAAUCACAUAGCAUUACAUAUUGUGUCUGAAUGUGCUGCUGAAAUAUCAUAGUAGUGCAUCGGCAGUGUUUAAUUUCUUCUCAGAUAGCUACUCUACAGUACAUUCCAACCAACAAGCAGAGUAACAGAUGUUUUUCUCCUGAACAUCCGUGGUUGGACAGUUGAGGGCUUGAGGCUUCAGUACUUCGGUGCUGGCUUCUGGGUUGGCAGAAGUGCAAAUCUUUUCUUCAACAGGUACCUCUGGCGAGAGUACUUGUCAUCUGGUGAGAAGCGAGCUGCAGCACAAGGAAAACAUUUCAGUAAUUAAUGUUGAGAGAAAGAGCACUCGAGUUAUUGAACAAUCAAAACCGCAAAUGCAACCAUGAAAAAGAACAUAUUCCACAUGUCUCAAUUCUGCAGGCUACAUAUUUGUUUGGUUAUAUACAUCGACAGUACAAGCACUCACAUUUAGUCCAAUAAUACAACAGAGUGAAGCUUUAGUCUGCCAUACAUGCUCAUGCUAAGGCCAUUCAUGACCGGUUAGAAUUCUAAAUCAUACACGGAAGUCAGGCAAUGUCAUUGAUCAUAUAAAAGCAAAGGGAAUUGUCACUGGAAAAAGAAAAAAAUAUUAUCUGCAGUUUUGAUAGGUGCCAUUACUCUUUACUCAGAUCCUCAUUUAUCUGCUUAAAAUACUCAGAAUCCAAACUCAGAAGAAAUUGAAGAUACAACGAUCAGAUAAAUGACACAAAUCAGGUGGGGCUCCAAUUAGACAGACAUGACUGCAUCCUUCAACCCAACAAAAGAAAGCUACCCAACUAUUACACGUUGACAGGUAAGUAACAUAACAGUGACAAAGGAGUAACUCCAGUGAACAAAAGCGGCGUACCCGGGUGAGCAGACUGCGUUGGUACCCCAAGAGGCGACUCCUUCUGCAAAGCAAGAAGAAAGAUACACAAAUUAGCAUUGGCUAACACCCCAAAAUCAUCAGCUAUUCAGUGAAGAUUAAGCACAAGCUCAUACAACCUUGGUGGUGUAAACCUUGUCUCCCUUCUCGUUGAUGUAGUACUGGAGAUACAUCUUGAAUCCACGAGCAGGGAUGAGCCCUGAUAAAUCUAACAUGAAUAAAGAGGAAUCACUUACUAUAUCACCAAUACUCACAGCAAUCAAGCAGGAGAGCCUGGGGCAGGUAGCGAAGUUUUCUUUAUCGAGUUUGGUAAUGACAGUAUUAAAAUGCAAGGAUGUAGAAAGACCAACUAUAAUUCUUAAACAGACCCUCAACCACAAAGAUGAAUAAACAAGCAAGUCCCCAGGAAUUUGAGAAGAUCAGAAUAAGUACUAUUGCAUGAAGGCUUUGAGUUUCCUUAUUAAUCCUACCUACAAAGUAAUUUCUCCAAUAUCCUCAAAUUGGUACACUCUUCUCUCUCUCCUCCUUUUUUAUUUUUUUUAUUUACCAUGAUAAGUAGCCUAAUCUCAGCCUAGAAGCUUCACCAACGUCCCAUACUCAUUAACAGAAUCGCUUAAAAGCUCAUUGAUACAAGCAAAACACUACAAGUUGACACCAUCCUUCCAUUCCAUUCGUUUGCUGUUGUAUGAUUCUACAACAUGAAUGGAAUGCAUGAUGAUUCUACUCACAGAGUAUAAUAUUGCUGCUACAGGAUAUAGGAACUAGAAUAUACAGUUGCAGACUAUAAGUCUUCCAGAUAUGCAUCAUUUCAACUUGAUCUUGUCAUCAGUUAAAAAGAACACGACAAUACAGUGACAGGUAUGCAUCUAGGCAAUCCUGAAAAUGCGCAUGGAGCAAAUUCGCAUCCAGAAAUGUGGCCCUUCCCAGCAAACAUACAUAGCUCGACAUCUCCUGACUCGCUGCUACAGAGUUCAAAUCUUGUGAAUCAGGGCUGGGGAUUGGGGCUCACCUUGGGAGGACCGGAGCGGGGUUGGGGAAAGGGCAGUCACCGGACGAGGGUGUCGAUGUGCGAGGUGCCGAACAGCCGACGUCGUGCGUGGGGGUGGCGGCGCGGUGUACUAGCUGCGUUGCGUGCGGCUGGGUGUGUGGGCGUGGCCGACUCGGGGCGUUGGACUGGGAGAGAAUGCCUAGGUCAUACCGUGGGCUGGGCCGGCUGUGGCUGUUUCGUGGGCUGAAUUCAUAUACUCCCUCCAUCCCAAAUUGUAACCAUCCUAAAUUAUAAAAAUCUUAGAAAGUUAAAGCAUUUUCAUGUUUGACCAAAUUUAUAGAGAAAAAUACUAAGAUUUGUAACGUAAAGUAAGUAUAUUAUAAAAAUAUAAUUAAGAAAGAAUCUAAUGAUACUUAGUUGGUAUCAUAAUAAUAAUUAUUUUAUCAUAUAAAUUUGGUCAAACUUAUAAAAAUUUGACUCUACAAAAUUUUUGUAACGAUGGUCCCUCCCAUAAAUAUGUAAACGGUAACGGUACGCACUUUUUCGUUUCCAAUUCCAACACACACUGCACAGUCCACGGUGCACGCGAGCUCUCCAUGGGCCGGGUAGGGUCACGCUAGCUGCAAUGGGCCAGAUGGAGUUUGCCGGCAGAUCGAUAAGGGACUCGAAUCGGAUCGGCCAUCAAAGUCGGGACUCCCUGGUUUAUUAGGUGCCGUGCCGAGGUGCCCCUCUGUGUUCUGAUAAUUAUUAAUAAAUAAACAAACUCUCCUCUGGACUACAUACAAUCGGUUAAUCUUUAGCUUGCAAAAAUUGCGUAGCAUCACCACCCUUUCCUCGGCGUAUAUCGCAACCGCAGCAGGCACGUCCUUCCUUCUGCACAGGUUCUAAUUUCAUGUUGUACUACUAUAUUCAAUUUCAAUUUCUGUAUAUAGUAUAUUUAAAGAAUUUUCACAUGAUGACAUGACCCAACCCCUGGGGUUUUGACUAUGUACGGACUCCAUGAAUUUGCCAUGAGUUUAUAAACUCUCUCACCAUAUAUAGGAUCAAUUAUAUUACCAGAUGGUUUGUGCUAACUUGUGACCGAUGUGAUCACCUUUGUAGAUAUAUAUACAUGAGAACAUAUAUAUAAAUCUUUCCUUCUUGUUCGUGUGUGUGUAUAGAUACAGGUACGGUAACCGCUAGCAUACCCGACAACGCGUACAAGUCGUCAAUCCACGAUGGAUGUGCGCCGGCAGAACAUUACACAGGCAGCAGCGGGCAAGACGGGCAAGAGAUCCAGUACCAUUACACCAGCCUAAAAGGGUCCAAGACGACUGGCAUUCAAGAUCCGCCGGCGAGGGUUCACCUUCGAGGGAACGCCGAGCCUGCUCAUCAGCGACCGCUACGGCGUCUGGUCCGUCACCCACCGGCGCUACAUCCGCAAGACGAACCACCACCGCUUCCAUGACCUGAAAAAGCAUCUUGAACCCAUCAGAAGAGAAUACGUGGACCUGGUACGCAAGGUCAAGAUAAACCAGUGGCCAGAGUACACGCAAGACGAGGAGCUCAGGUCCUUGCGCCACAAGCUGGCCGACUUCUACUGGGCCGUCAUGCCAAAGGAGGUGAAGGCGAGCAUCGUGCUCUUCUACCGUCACCGACGGCAGCAGCGCCUAAACCGCUUCACUGCCGCAGUGGUGCUCGUGGCUCUGCAAGGUUUCGUGCUGCUCAGUCUGGUGCUCAUGGGAUUCUACAGCCUAUGGGUCAGCCUGUUCCUGGGCUUGGGUUACCUUGGUGUGGUGUUCCAGAUAGAUAAGGCCGGUGUGGAAUAUGGUCUCUGAUGAUCCGUUUCGUUCUCUAUAGUCUGCAAAAAUCACUUUGGGUGCCAUGGAUUGAUAUGAUAUUGCACCCUUCUUGACAAUAUAUGUGUUGUCAGGAGAUGUUAGGUAAAGCCAGGACAGCAACUCUCAUGGAUUGAUACCUGAUGGCAAUCCUUGACGUUGGCUGUUAAAGGAAGAUGUUUUGCAUCCAUGUCACGAAACCGUCAGAACCUAUUGUCAAUCUAUUUUUGUCUACGAACCAAACAAGAAAAAUUACAACCUUGCCUUAUGAUUUUAUACUUGCCAAGUAAUAAGGUAGGUACAAAUGGCAUGGUCAUAAUAAAACACACGUCACGCUACCAACUUCACAAACACAGCUCGGAAGGACAAAAGAAGCAACAACAUAGUAUUGAAAUGCCACGAUCAUACAUUAGCCAUUUUAUGAACAAAUUAAAUGGUUUGUGCUCUGAUAUAGUGAUAUAGAAAACCAGAGACAUAGGACUGACCUUGGUUCAUUGUCGGUCACACAAUACUUCAUGCUUGUUGCACAUAUACAACUACCGCCAUGGGAUAAUGUCUUUUUCCUGCAUAAGAGGGGAGGGGGAGGUUCACAAUAUACCAUGAUAGCUCAUCACUAGCAGAUUCUUUAUGUUCAAGGGCAAUGUGUACAUAUAACCCUACACUGAUAGAACUGGUAAAGAUUACUCUGUGUAUACAAAUGCAGAAAAAUAUAAAAAUGUAUAACACUAAAGUCACAAUACAUGAUUAAUGCAACAACACGUGGAUUGACAAUCUCAGCUAGCUCUGAAACUUUGUGGAAUUGAGGCACUUUGUGACUACACUGGACUACACCAUUCUGGCUGAGUCCUCCGUCAAACCUAUGUACACAUUUAAAUGUAUUUUGGAGGAAGACAGACCAAUUAACAUAUAGCACAAUAAAAUUGCUCAAUAAUACCUAUUCUGUAAAGCAGCAGACUGAGGGAAGACAGGAUAUGGAUAAGAUGAUAACCGAUACGGACAGCCAUCGUACAUAAUAUUUGAAAUAUGUUUAUGGUUAUAUGCAACACAUGAAAAGAUAUAAUCGCAAACAUAAUUUCUUUCUAAUAAUACACAGCCAUCCUACAUAUUCUCAAGAAUAAAAACAGACAUGAAUAGCAGAUUGGUUACAUGCCUGUUUGGUUGCCCUGAUAUACUCGUGCUUGGCUCCUGGGAUGCAGUUUCACAGUGUUUGGUUCCCUGCACUCAUUGCUGGGCCUGGCCCUGGGCAUGCAACCGAGGCACUGGAGCCUGGCUCCCAAAAAACGGAUUUGGAAUCCGUUUUCUCAUGGCCUGGCUCGCGGGCGGCGAUGGCGUAGUCAUGCGAACCAAACAAACAAUGGUUGCACACCCGUAGCCUGGUCAGCGGGAGCCAGGUGCAGUGCAGGAACACUGAGAAGAGAACCAAACAGACCAUAUACCUGUUUUUUGGGAGGUUUUACACUGACUUAGUCCCGCUUUUGGUGUUCUUAAUAGUUACAUGUGUGGAAAAUGAACAGACCAAUUAACACUGACUUAGCACAAUAAACAGACCAAAAGAGGAGGUUUUACACUGACUUAGUCCCGCUUUUGGUGUUCUUAAUAGUUACGUGUGUGGAAAAUGAAUUUAGAAAAACAGAAUGUAAUAUACAGUGAGCAACACUUCAACAGAAAGUCCAACAGGGGGGAAAUGAAUUUUGCUAAUUUAAUAUUGCAGUAAAUUCAAAGCAGAAACACAGUGAUAAAAGAAGACAGAAAUAGACUUUUUUUCCAUCUCAAGACCAUCCAGAGAUUCCAUUUAUAAGAAGUCACACCAGAGAUGAAAUCAGUUAUGCUUCCUUAAAUAAAACAAAAUGUCAAUAACAUAUGCAGGCAUGAAGUGGGGAAUGUGUGAGGCACAGGAUUGACUUUAGUGAACUUUAUGAACCAUCCCAUGUAGUAAGGAUGAUCAGCAGUGUGAUACUUAGUUCGGGAACUAUGGGCCACAGAAUUUAAUAGAGUCUUUUUUGUUCAAAGUUAGGCUUCGACAUUAGAACCCAUCUCUCUGGAAUCUAGCCUUCCAAGCACCGACCCUGUACAAAAAGCAGUUUGUGAACUCAUGCAGGUAGUCUGAAGAGGAUCGAUAGCAAGCCCAACAACAACCUCACCUAUUCAUCAAGCAGAACAAGGUAUAUACCUAUGGAUCUUCAGAAGUUUCUCAUUGGCGACAUACUAGAGAAUCUAACCAUACUUGUCCUGUGGGCGGAUGGACCAAACACAUGCACAUGAGCCUAAAUUUAUUUGUGUGAUUGACGCUUGUUUCACCAAACCUCAUCAGGCAUGUCAGGGUUAGGACUUAGGACAGGAUCAAGCGAGUCAAUCACUAGCACUGCAGGAACCAAAUCAGAGGGCGGAAAACUAGACCUCAGAGGGAGAGGGGUUGGGCUUUGGGCGGCGGCCAGAUGAGCCCAGAGGCCCUCCUCUUCCGAUUCGUUCCAGAACCAUCCCAGGCCGCCACCAGCCCACCGCAACAAGAGAAAGCCGCCGCCCGGCGGCGGCGAGCAAUUGGGCAUGGCCAUGCCGCAAUGGGGAUGCUGUGGUGUUCCUUUUGCGAUGUGGCGGAGGUAGGCGGCGUGGGCGAGGGCCGAGGGCGGUGGCGAUGGUGAAUGGUGAAUUGGUGAUGGCCUGAUGGGACCGGACCACGGAUCCUGUGUGAUUCUGUGGUCCGGUUCAGCCCAACAACACCAAAGCUUCAGUGGAUAGCGCUCGGGGCCAAGUGGAUCUCAGGUGGGUGGUGGUCUCUCUCAGACUAAAGGCGUGUUUGAUUAUGAGUGUUAAAGUUUAAUAUAGUAUUUUUUGUUUUAUUUGGUAAUUAAUAUCUAAUUCUAAAUUAAUUAAGUUUAAAAGAUUCGUCUCACAAAUUAUUCUCUAACUGUGUUUUAAAUUUUAUAAAUGAUUUAUUUUUUGUACUUCAUGUGCUAAUGAUAAAUCUUUUAAGUCUAAUUAGCUUAUAAUUAGCCAUAACUGCUACAGUAACUCAUAUGUGCUAAUGAUAAAUUAGUUAGAUUUAAUAAAUUUGUCGAGCUAUAUAAUUUAUAUUUUUAUUAGUAUGUAGAUAUUCCUUCCAACAUCACCGGUGGUCGUCGGUAGUGGUUGGCCUGGUUUAUCCCGGCCGACGGUUACCGGUAGUACGCGGUAGCGAUGUAUACAAUGAAAGGCGGUUCCGCCCUUCCAUGACUGGCUGACCGGACGUUGCCCGCUACCCUGCCAAGCCCAAGCCCAACGAGUCCGCCGGUUCCGUGGCUAGGCAACACGUCAGCCGGUGUUGGUUCGCGGCGGCCGAGGCAACAUGGCAACGAAGCCGUGAAGCGGAGCCGCACGGCGUGCACCAUGCCUUGGCCGUCGAAGAGGUGGUGCCCCGGCCGCGGCGCGUGGAGCGAGGCUCGAGCGCGCGCACGUAGCUGCCGGCGAUCUGGACGGCCCGGUCUGCAGUCCGCAGGAGCGGGAGCGGGAGCGGGUGCGCGCGCUCGAAGACGCCCGCCACGAGCCGGGAUUCUUCCCGUGUCGUCGGAUAUUUAUUUUCUGCGCGAGACUGUUUUCACGUGGCGGAAGCACCUGUCGAUGAUUUCCCGCGCCGAGGCUGCUGGUUUCCCGCUCAGAGGCCUAUGGUUUCUCAGGCAUUUCCAGGCGUUAGCUUUUCACGCGAUAGAUGUGGAUGAGACCUGCUGCACCCCCACUUGCAGGAUUUCCUCAGGAUGUACGUAUAUUUUCUUUUUUAUUUUUCUUUUCUUUUCUUUUUAUUUUAUUUUCUUGUUGUCUUCCUCCUACUACGUGCGGUGUAGGUAAGUAGUAUGUUUUAUUUUUAUUUUUAUUUAUUGAUCAUUUGUUUUUCUUAUCUUAUCUUUUUUGUUUCUAUUUUUCCAUUUUCCAUUCUUUUCUUUUAUUUUUUUAUUUUUUAUUUUUGUACUUAUUUUUUAUUUAUAUUUCUUUUUAUUUUUGCGUCUACCUUCACGUAGGAGUAUGUUAGUUUCUUUUUUUCUUAUUCUUUUGAUUUCUUUUUCUUUUCUAUCUUUUCUUUUUGGUACUUCAUUUUUUAUUUAUUUAUUUUGUUUUCAUGUGUUUUUAUUAAUAUUUUUAUGUUUCUCUUAUUUUUUAUUUUAUUUUAUUUGCUUUUCUUUUUUAUUUUUUUCUUUAAUGUUUUUAAUGUUCAUGUAGUAUAUAUUUGAUAUUCUAUGAUUUUUUUAAUGUUUAUGUGUUAUACAUGUGAUUUCUGUGAUACUUUUUAAUGUUUUCGUAGUAUACAUGGGAUGUUCUACAAUAUUCUUUUUAUGUUUACACAGUAUACAUAUAAUGUUAUAUGACUAAUUUUGUGAUGUUCACGUAAUAUAUAUGCGAUGUUCUAUAAUACAUUUAGCGAUGUUCUAUAAUAUAUUUAGUGAUGUUCUAUGGUGUAUUUAGUGAUGUUCUAUAGUCUAAUUUAGGAUGUUUGAAAAGUAUCCUUAUGAUAUUCUUUUUAACUUUUUACUAUUAUGUUUUUAACUUUUUUUAUAUUUUUAUUUAUUUUAUAUUUUUUGUUUUUACUAUACUUAAUUAUUUUAUUUUUGUGAUAUACUUUGUGACGCUCUCGUGGUAUAUAAGUGGUAUUUUAUGAUGUUCUCGUAGUAUACAUAUUAUGUUUUAUGGUGUAUUUAGUGAUGUUCACGUAAUAUAUACGCAAUGUUCUAUAAUAUUUUUUAGUGAUGUUCUAUGAUAUAUUUAGCCAUAUUCACCUAGUAUAUAUGUGAUGUAUAUCUAAAUAUUUUUAGGAUGUUUGAAAGAUGUUCUUUGAAAAAUUUAUCUAUUAUGUAUUUUUAUUUAUCUUUGCUUAUGUUGUGCUCUAGAUUUUUAUUAUAUUUAUUAUAUUAUGUAUUUAUUUAUUAAAUUUAUGAUAACAACUCCAUGAAUCUAAAACUAGAAUAUUGUUCUUCUAAUUUGAGAGUAAUCUUCUUAUAAAGAACAUUAUUCUCUAAACUUAGAACAUUGUCUCUGCUCAAGAAAAUAAAAAAUAAGAUAAAUAUUCGUUAACAAAAUUUUAUUUAAAUAUAUCUAUGUAGGAUCUUGUUUUGAAGAUUUUAUUAUAAAAAUUUAAUCGUAUAAUUAAAAUUUAAUUUAAAGUUUUAGUUUAGGAGUUACAAUUUUUUUAAUCUGUUAAAAGUCACAACACUUAAUAUGGAUAAGGUGGGCCAACGUGAUUGGCCAGCCUGGGCAGGGCAUGCCUCCAUGUGCCUUCUGCUCCCGAAAUUCCAGCGCUGCUCGCUGACACAUUAGACUUUUAACGCAGACAGUGAACGAGAAGGCGGGAAGUUAGAGCGGGAAAGUACCCAACGACGGUUUCGGUCUGAACGGCCGGAUUGGAAGAGCCCCCAGUGCUUCCGCCACGUGAAAACAGUCUCGCGUAGGAAAUACUGACGGAAAACAUCGGACGACAGUUCCAUCCGAACGUUCGGACGGGAAGAAUUCCGGAGAAAGAGAGCCAACAUGAUGUGCCACACGGGGGAGGCAGAUGCAGAGCAUAUCCUGGCUCAAUUUUUCUAGCGACGGACAAGGACGGGAUGGACCGCAGGCUAAUUUAGAAUCCAGAUUAUACAACAUGUUGGGACCUACUGUUGGACCCUACGGCAGAAAUAAUAUACUCUCUCCGUCUCAAACUAUAAGUCAUUACAAGAAUUUUGGAGAGUCAAAGUUUUUUAAGUUUGAAUAAAUUUAUAUAACAAAAUGAUAAUAUUUUUGAUACCAACCAAGUAUCAUUAGAUUCUUUGUUAGUUAUAUUUUCAUAGUGUGCCUAUUUUAUGAUAUAAAUUUUUAUAUUUCUCUCUAUAUUUUUAGUCAAACUUAAAAAUAUUUUGACUCUUCAAGAUUUUUGGAAUGACAUAAUUUGGAACGGAUAGAGUAUUUUUAGUUGCUCUAUCACACGAUGACGUGCGAGAUACAACUAGGUUCGACCGUUCAGUCCAAAGUGUCCGCCACCCGCCCACCCGGCCACCCCCCACCCACACCAUUACUUGAUUUAUUUAUUAUUUUUUUACCACUAGUAGUACUGAUGCACCGUACUUUUUGAUUUGAUGAAGCAAGGUAUACGUGCUAUUACAUAAAGUACUGCUAACUGAUUUAUUUUGAAUGACUGACAGAUUUGGCUGAUAAGCUAAAAUAAACAAGGUGUUCGUCGGGUAUCAUCCACUGCUGACGAGUCGAUGAGGCUUCCUGUCCUCCCAAAAUAAUCUCGCCCCCAAACUAUCUGUCCUAGCAAACUACUGUGUCUACUAAUUUCAUCAAUCAUCAAGCUGCAGGACUGACCCACAGUCACCGGCAAAAGCUUCAUCGACGACGAGGGUGCGUGCGUUGGUGGGCGCCGGCGAUGUCGUCGUCUGCGCGCAACACGACGAAGCUGAAGACGGCGUGCGUGACCGGAGGAAAUGGCUACAUCGGCUCCGCGCUCAUUAAGAUGCUGCUGGAGGAAGGCUACGCCGUGAAGACGACGGUCAGGAACCCCGGUUCGGUUCUCCCUUCUCCCGGCCCUCUUCUCGGUUCAGUGUUUCGUGGUUGUUGCAAUUCCGCGCGGGAUUGCAGCUGUGCAACAGAUAAACGGCAUCCUGAGAGCUUCUCAGAUUGCAUAAUUAAAAAAUAGCACAAGAAUUUCAACGAUUUUAUUUUGUUACUGAAUUCUGAUUUGAUCGUUCAAGUUCAACAGCAAGCAAGCAAUCCUCUAGCUAGCUAGGCGCACAUCUGCUUUUCCAGUUGAUGUUGCGGAUAGACGGUGGUUGUGAUGUGAUUGUGAUUUGUGAAUCCCACCCACCCAUGCUGUUGUCCUGACUCCUAAGAAUCGACCAUGAUUGGUUUCUGAAACCCUACCAGAUGACAUGGAGAAGAACUCCCAUCUCAAGGGCUUGCAGGAGCUUGGACCGCUGACGGUCCUCCGCGCCGACAUGGACGAAGAAGGCAGCUUGGACGACGCCGUUGCCGGCUGCGAUUACGCCUUCCUCGUUGCCGCCCCGGUGAACCUCUGGGCGCAGGAUCCAGAGGUGCGCAAACAUCGUCACCACUCACCACACACACCAUGCACGAGCCGUCGUCGUUGUCACAUAAUCAUCACUCACUCUCACUCAAGUUUAGUUGUCUCUGGACUUGCUCAAUCGAUGCCUCCUUUUCACUCCAUCACUUGGGGUGGUUUCAGAGGAAAAAAAAAGAACUGAUUUUUAGCUUGCUUGCCGAUGCACGAUCGCAGAAACAGCAGAUCGAGCCGUCUGUCCGAGGAACGCUGAACGCAGUGAGGUCGUGCGUGAAGGCCGGGACGGUGCGGCGCGUGAUCCUGACCUCGUCGGCGGCCGGAGUCUACAUCAGGCCGGACCUGCAAGGCGACGGGCACGCGCUGGACGAGGACUCCUGGUCCGACGUCGACUUCCUCAGAGCAAACAAGCCGCCGACCUGGGUCCGCCCCGCCGUCCGAUCGAUGAUUCUGCACCCAACCCAUUCCUUUUUUUCUUUUUUGACACCCAUUCUCCAUCGUUACAUGCACGUAUGGUUUUGAUGAUAAGCUGUGGAUUGCAUGCUUUGCUUGCAGGGAUACUGCGUGUCGAAGGUGCUCCUGGAGAAGGCGGCGUGCAGGUUCGCGGAGGAGCACGGCAUCAGCCUCGUCACCGUCUGCCCCGUCCUCACCGUCGGCGCCGCGCCGGCACCCAAGGUCCGCACCAGCAUCGUCGACAGCCUCUCCAUGCUGUCUGGUGAGUGAGUGAGCAGUCAGAGAUCCUGCUAGCGCCAGACUACUGGAUUCUCCGCGCUGUUAAAAACAGAGAGAGAGAAACAAUCGAGUUCGUGUGAAUGUGAAUGUGAUCGAUCGAUUGCGUGAUCUUCAGGCGACGAGGCCGGGCUCGCCGUGCUCAGAGGCAUCGAGACGACCUCCGGCGCUCUGCAGCUGGUCCACAUCGACGACCUCUGCCGCGCCGAGCUGUUCCUGGCAGAGGAGGCGGCGGCCGGCGGGAGGUACAUCUGCUGCAGCCUCAACACGACCGUCGUCGAGCUCGCGCGUUUCCUGGCACACAAGUACCCGCAGUACCGCGUGAAGACAAAUUUGUAAGCAAUAGCCAGCCUCACUUCUGCGCCGUCCAAAUCUUAUACUCCUUCCAUCCUUUAAGCUAUUUCAAGAAUUACAGAGAAUCAAAACAUUUGAUCAAAUUUGAAAUUCUUUGACUCUUCAAAAAUCUUGAAAUGACUUAUAAUUUGGGAGGAAAAUUUGAGAUGGAGGGAGUAGAUGUUUUGCAGCUCUGAUUUUUGACACUUUAUUUGCAGCGACGACGAUGAGCAUCUCCUGGAGAGGCCGAGAGUGAUCAUGUCGUCGGAGAAGCUGGUCCGGGAAGGGUUUGAGUACAGGCACAACACGCUGGAUGAGAUAUACGACAACGUGGUCGAGUACGGCAAGGCAUUAGGAAUUCUGCCCUACUGAUUUAAACUAGUACAAGCCAUGUCAGUAAUAAUUCAAGCUCGAGUUUGAAAUGUCUCUCUUCCACAGAUCGACAUUAGCAGAUUUUUAUUUCCAGAUCGCUGGUCGUCAUGCAUGCAUGACUGCUGGCGCGACCAGGUGUGCCAGAGCCUGAGAAGUGGUUUGAUGACCCAAUGUGAAAUUGCAAUUUGCUACAAAAGACUCGUAUAUUGUACUCGAUCAUAUCCUACAAGAGUUGAGUUUCGUCGUCUCCAGACACAUGUGCACAACGUUGAUACGGUUAGCAGCUUCGUUUGAUUUUUCAGCACACCCUGCCAUCUUGGCACCUUGGGCCAUGUUUAGUUCUCCAAAACCUAAAAACUUUUUAAAAUUUACAAUCACAUCGAAUCUUGUGGAACAUAUAUAAAACAUUAAAUAUAAAUAAAAAUAAAAUUAAUUACAUAUUUUGUCAAUAAAUUAUGAAAUGAAUUUUUUGAUUCUAAUUAAUCUAUAAUUGAUCACUAAUUACUAAAUAUAAACGAAAGUGCUAUAUUAGUGAAAUUCUAAAAAAAUUGAAUAUAAACGAGUCCCUAUAGGACUAGAAGUACGGUAUAGAAUAACGUACAAAUCUGUCCUUGUACCCGGUCAACCCAGCUAUUAAUUUACUAUAUAUACACUGACUUGACAAAUGGUCUCGUGUGUGUAAACGGAACUAGUCAAGCUCGAAAAAAAAGCUCUGCUACGCCGUUUCGCGGCCAGCCUCCGACGACCAUUAUAACGGCCGGAGAUGGCCGGGAAAUUCCACAGCAACCUUCCGUGUUGGAAUUGGCUUAUUUUAAUUUGAUUAAAAUCAAAUAAAUCUUAAAGUUCAUACUAAGGCCUGGUUUAGAUCUAAAUUCUUUUGGAUUUUAACACCGUAACACUUUCGUUUGUAUUUAUCUAUUAUUAUUAUCCAACCAAUGGACUAACUAGACUCAAAAGAUUUGUCUCGUACAUUAUAGACAAAUUGUAUAAUUAGUUAUUUUUUAUCUAUAUUUAAUGCUCUAUGCAUAUGCCGUAAGAUUCGAUACGACGGAGAAUCCUGAAAAGCUUUUGGAUUUCAGAUGUAACUAAACAAGGCCUAAAUGUUGGAUGCAUUAAACUGUAAAGGUGACUAUAUAGAAGAGAGGUGAAUUUCUCUAUGAAAUUGGCCUCUAUCCCAGAUCCAACCCCAAAACUCCAAAACAGCAAGAAAGGCUCAAUUCAAGUCAGAUAAUAGCUAGAUGAACCCUAAGUAACACCAAGACCAUAACUGAUCCAAGUGAGAACGAAUCGAAUGAAAAACCAGCAGAAACAACUCAACAGCCCGUCACACCGGACCUUUUUGGUAGCACUGGAUGAACAAAAAAAAAGAUAAUGGCAGUGAGCCAUUGAUGACAAUGCUACAAUAGAAAACCAGAUAAUGGUAGUGAGCCAUUGAUGACAAUGCUACAAUAGAAAACCAGCUCAGCUAUAUCUAUCUACACCUAAUAAAUACCGGAGGUUAUCGUCUGCAUGCCCCACUGCUCACCCCGCUCCCCUCUCAUACGCUUAUCGGGCUCGAGCAAAGAAGUCUCCCAGUCUCCCAUGUAGAGAUGUCCAACGGGCCAUGCCAGGCCGGCCCAACAUCGGGCCGUGCCGUGCCGGACCGUGCCCCAGAUCACUAGGCCGUUACGGGCCGUCGUGCCUAGCGGGCCAUGCCUCUACAGGCUUCGUGUCUAGCCUUCGGCCAAAGGCAUGGCUUGCGGGCUGAUUUUCGUGUCGUGCCGGCCUACUGCUCAUCAAACCGACAAGAACUCAUUUUCAUCAAUAUUUUCAUCAAAUACUAAAAUAUUUCAUUAUUUUCACCAAUAUAACAAUUAACAAUAUAUAUAUAUAGUCAUAACUACACCAGCAGUUUAUGUUCACCGGGCCGCUAUCGGGCCAACCGUUGGAACGGGCUGUGCCCGUGCCAUGCCGCAUGCCUGGUUGACGGCUCAGACAUGGCCUUGUCCCUCGGGCCGAGCCGGCCCGAACCCAAUGGCCACCGUGCCGUGCCAUGCUCGGGCCGGGCCAUGGGCCAUGGGCCUCAUGGCCAUGUAUACUCCCAUGAGUCCAUCACCCUAUCGAUCUCCCUCUCUAACUCCAACGGGCAGUACAUCAGGAUUGGUGGUUUGGUAUUCGGAUUAUAAGUUCCAAAUUAGAAGAGGAAGCGAUCCAUGCAAGCAGGAGCCGCCAACAAGAUAGAGGUUCUAGAACAGAUAGACCCAGCUGUAGGGGGCCUCAGUGCCCUUCUCGUGGGUGCUGCAGGUGGUAGAAGUAGUCCCAUGGCACCAGCUUGAGGACUACUUGUGCUGCACGCGUGACACAACACAUGGAGGAGCUUGGAGGAGUACCCUCGUGCUUUCGUGGGUGAUGGGAUGAGCAUGAGACUGAGCCUUGAAGAAAAUAAAAGGCAUAAAAUUUUAGGAAAAUCAAUUUCAUAUAAAAUAGUUAGGGGCACUAUGAACAUAUGACAUCUUUGUUCCAUUCUAGAAAAAUAGGACGGAUCAUUUUACCAAAUGUUUUUUUAGAGAAGUUGUUUCUGGUGAAGCUACAACCCUGCUCAAAUUUGUUUUACGAUUCUGAAAGCCUUAAAAAAUAACUGUAAGACAUGGUACUGGAGGUCUGGAGGUCGUCAUCGAAUUCAGCGUGUUCAUUCUCUCGAGAACUAUAUACGUUAGCAUGUGCUAGGAAAGGGGGUCAUGCAUGUUUGUCAAGAGGUAAUACGUAGAGCGGAUGUGUGUCGGUCAACAGCUGGUUCAUGUUUGUCAAAGCAUGCAUGUUGACCGUGGUAACCAUGCUUGGCCCUCUAUCCUCACGCACAAACGGACUCAGGCGACUGGCACAUGUGUUGACCUCUGGGUCUGGGAGCUGGCACACGUACACGUUCGAUCUGUAGACAUUUUCCACCGUACUAUACGGUUUGAAACCUUCAAUUCGUAGACAGACUUGAGAUGGCCGGGUUAGUUAGCGAUUGGGAAAGGGUCGACAGGAACGUGGAUGGGUGACUAAAUAAUAAUCUAGAUUAGAAUCCCGGAUAAAUCAAUAUCUAUAGCAGUUCUCUGGGAGUUGCCGUGAAGGAAACAAAUUUGAAAAAUUUGUGCAUGAUGAUAUCAUACAAAGUCGACGACGGGCUACAUUGGUUGUUGUCUUUUCGUCGAUCAGGCUGAUCAAAGUUACCAGUCCUCUCAAAAUAUCUCGCCCAAUGCAAACUAUAUAUAGCUACUAGUUCUAGCAAACUAAUUUCAUCAAUCAUCAGGCCUGCUGCUAGACUCACCGACAGACAGUCACCGGCAACAAGCAGCAUCGACAACUCGACGACGAGGGGAAGCUUUGCGUUGGUGUGGCUGGCAAUAUGUCGUCGUCCGCGGGUAACAAGAAGACGAUGAAGACGGCGUGCGUUACUGGAGGGAGCGGGUACAUCGGCUCCGCACUCAUCAAGUUGCUGCUGGAGAAGGGCUAUGCCGUCAAGACGACGGUCAGGAACCCCGGUUCGUUCGAUUUCUUUCAAUGGUUCCAACGGUUUAUUAAUUGGAACUUCCUUUGGAGUGCGUAAAAAUAGCACAAGGAUUUCAACGAGGUUUCUGAUUUUAUGGUUCAACAGCAAUAAAGAAAUCCUAGAAUAAAUAUGGUAUUUGAGCUAGGCGCACGAACGCUUUUACUGUUGCAGAUAGUCAGAUAGAUGGUGGUGGUUGUGAUGUGAUUGUGAAUCCCACCACGGCCCUAUCCUACCCUUGCUUAUAGAAAAAGAAUUGACCUUGAUUUGGUUUGACCCCAGAUGACAUGGAGAAGAACUCCCACCUCAAGGACCUGCAGAAGCUUGGACCGCUAACGGUCUUCCGCGCCGACAUGGACGAAGAAGGCAGCUUCGACGACGCUGUCGCCGGCUGCGAUUACGUCUUCCUCGUCGCCGCCCCGCUGCACUUCGAGGCACAGGAUCCAGAGGUGCGCAAACAUGCAUCCUGAUCAGUAUUCACUCGUCGUCGUCGUCGUUGUUGUCGUCGUUGUCUUUUUUUCGAAAGAUCUGUUACCGGCUUUCAUUGAAAUAGAUGUCGUUGUCACAUAACCGCAACUCUCACUCCGACAUACGACGUCGACGGUCGACAUCCCCUGUCUCCAUCUUGGCUGCUCCUCUUUUUCACUCCAUCAGUUGGGUGGUUUCAGAAAGAACUGACUUUUUUCCUUUGACCUGCUUGCCGAUGCCCGAUGGCAGAAAGAGCAGAUCGAGCCGGCUAUCCAAGGAACGCUCAACACAAUGAGGUCGUGCGUGAAGGCCGGGACGGUGCGGCGUGUGAUCCUGACCUCGUCGGUGGCCGCUGUCUACUUCCGGCCGGACCUGCUAGGCGACGGACAUGGGCAUGUGCUGGACGAGGACUCCUGGUCCGACGUCGACUUCCUCAGAGCCCACAAGCCGCCAACCUGGGUGGGUUCGCCGUCCGAUGAUUCUGCACCCAUUCUCCAUCGAUUAUCUUCUGUCCGCCAUUGCUAGGUCAGUUUGAUGGUGACCUGUAUUGCUUGCUUGCUUGCAGUCACACUGCGUGUCCAAGGUGCUCCUGGAGAAGGAAGCGGGCCGGUUCGCGGAGGAGCACGGCAUUAGCCUGGUCACCAUCCUCCCCGUCAUCGUCGUUGGCGCGGCGCCGGCACCCAAGGCCCGCUCCAGCAUCGUCGACUGCCUCUCCAUGCUGUCCGGUGAGUCAGUCAAGAAAAAAAAAACAAUAGAGUUCGUGUGAAUGAUUGGUCGAUUGACGAUUGCUGAUUAUCUUCAGGCGACGAGGCCGGGCUCGCCAUGCUCAGAGCCAUCCAGAAGACCUCCGGCGAGGUGCAGCUGGUCCACGUCGACGACCUCUGCCGCGCCGAGCUGUUCCUCGCAGAGAACGCGACGGCCAAUGGGAGGUACAUUUGCAGCAGAUACCACCCGACCCUCGUCGAGCUCGCGACUUUCCUGGCACAAAAGUACCCGCAGUACGGCGUGAAACCAACAGAUUUGUAAGCAACGGCAACGGCCACGGCCGGCCUCAAUUCCGCGCUGUGGAUAUUAUACAUGUUUGCAGGGGUUUCCAGCUCUGAUUUUUGACACUUCUUUUUUUUUUUUUUUUUUUUUUUGCAGCGACGAUGAGGAGAGGCCGAGAGUGACCAUGUCGUUGGAGAAGCUGAUCCGGGAAGGGUUUGAGUACAAGCACAACACCCUGGAAGAGAUCUACGACAACGUGGUCGAGUACGGCAAGGCAUUAGGAAUUCUGCCCUACUGAUAUAUAGAUGCCCGAUUUAGCUUAAAUAAAUGGGCAGUAUGUCAGUCGGACGUAUGAGUCUUGGAAAGUACUUUAAAUAAGUUAUAUGGACAUUUUCUAUUGGGAAAAUGUUCAAGGAACGCUUAACCUUUGCGUUCUCGCUAUUCAUUUUUCAACACAAUAAUUAGCCACCAUAGAAUGUGAUGUCUGUUUGGUUGUAAUUGAUUGAUUUAUCAUCUCAUCUCUAUCUAUAUUUUUUGUCGCUUUCAUGGCGCCUCUCCAUAUCUUGUGUUGAAUAUAUGCUUAGUUGAAAUUUUAGCUUAAGUUAUAUUAACACUUGGCAGAUGUGUCGUGUUAUUACGAAUCUAGACUUUUGGCUUAAGUUGUAUGACUUCUAUCAUCUCUAAAAGUAAACUAACAUGUCCGUUCGAACGUACCAAAAGUUUUGUUUAGAAAGACGGUAAGAGCUUUGCCGUAUUUUUAUUAGACGAGGAGUACGUACCAAAAGUCUCCAUCUAAAUUGUGAAAACUAUAAAUAACCAUAAAUUGCAUAUAUAGUUGUUUCUAAACUACUCACUUAUAUCUAUAAUUAAUUAUAUACAAAACUAAUGAUAUAAAAAAUUGCACUUGUUUCUAACAACUCACUUAUUGCAUAUGCAUACUUGAUGCAUCUAUAUAUGGUUUCUAAACCCUAUACAAUUAGUCACAUCUAUCUAUACUUUUUGCUAAUAAAAAAUAUUAUGAGUCACAUGUGCAAUUAUGGUUUAUGUUAUUGCUAACGAUAUAUAUAAUAUGCAUAAAUAUAAACCAUAAUAGCCUUAAAUUAUUGUUGUUUGAAUGCAUAAUAUACUUGAUAUGCAUGCAUAUAUCUAUUUAGGGAACGUAUCUGGUGGAAAUCACAAUCUUCGUGAAAAUUCGUGCAAACCAUGACAAAAAAGUCAUUAAAAUUCACCAAAAACAUCACAUAUGUAGAUGAUACACAAUCUUGUAAAAUAUUUUGUCAAAACUCAAAUUCGUUUAUGAGAUAUAAAAAUAAUAAAUUUCUAAUAAAUCAUGUGAACAACUUUCUAGCUUGAAAUUUGUUACUUUAUCUCACCUUUCAUAAUUGCACAUGUGCCCAAUUUAGAUGUAGAAAUAAAAUUUAUUUUGCAUUAUUUUUUUAUAGUAACAAAUGUGAGUAGUUUUCUUAGAAAAUAGAAUAGAUUAAUGGCCAUUACUAGUUAUGCAUAUUCGAUGUGAGCAAUUUUAUGCAGAGCAAAGAUCAUCUGUCAAAAUCAUAGGAAACCAACUAGCAACCAUACAUCUCGUCAAUCUCCUCCGUUCCAAAAAAAAAAUAGCAUUAUGUGUAUAGUAAAAAAUAUUAUAUUUAAUUAAGUUGUACAAAAUAUUAGCAAUAUUUGUAUCUCCAAAUAAAUUUAUUAUAAAAAAAUAUUUAACAGUUUAUAUAAUAAUAAAUAUUAAAAUAUUCUAAUAUAUAUUUGAUUAAAGAUGCAAAUGUUUGAGUUCUGGAGAAGUGAUGCUGGUGGUAAGGAGUUAUACGAAAAAAGUACUAGCAUUUAAAAUAUGAAAUAGUACCAUUAUAUUAGUUAUAUAAUAUAUUUUUGUAAUAAAUUUAUUUAGAGAUAUAAAUAUUAAUCUAUUUACUAUAAUUUUGAUCAAACUUAAGUUAAUUUGACUAUCAUGGAUCCUAUAAUUAUAUUUUUUUGUGGACCUAGUCUACAAAAAUAUCAUUCAUGUUUUUUUUAGAAAUCAGACGGGUUGAUAUAUAAAAUAUAAUGAUAAUUUUGAUACUAAGUAUCAUUAAAUUAUUAUAGAAUAUGUCUUUUUAGGAUGGAGAAAGUACCAUUAAUCGCUGUUACCAAUAAAUGGAGCAAUAGCUACACCUCAUCUAUACCUUUUCAGAUUUUAUAGUGCUUACGUCUUUGUGCACCUAGUGUUGAGCAACGGGCUAGCCUACCGGUACAUCACAAUUCACAAUACAUCUUUGUGCACCUCCGUAUAGGUAGACUGUCGAUAAGCUUUCGUUGACACUACCCUGUAUGGCACGGGUCCGUAUGGCCUGUCAUGCUGCCGAGCUGUGCCUCCACAGGCCACCGUAUUUAGUGCCUGCCGGCUCAGGCACGACACGUGGGCUGAUUUUCGGGCUGUGCUAGUCCGAAGAAUACGAGGCCCAAUAAUUCAUCGAGCUGGCUUAUAGCCCACUAUAUGAAAACAUCAUAUUCAAUAUAGAAUUCAACAAAGCACAAGUAAAUCAUAUUCAAGUUACAGGCCAUGAUAGUUUAUAAUUCACAGAACACACAAUAUACUUCACAGAUCAUAUUUCACAAGCCACAAGUCACAAGUUUCACAAGCCACAAGUCACAAGUUUUACAAGUCACAGAACUUCAAGUUUCACAAGUUUUCUGGUACUAGACCGACACCGUGUCUACUGUUAAAAGCGGGCCGACAUCAACCUUGCCAUUAAAAGCGGGUCGUGCCGUGCCAUCUGGCGAGCCGAUGGAUCAGUCAAAGCACGGCCUGCUACGUGCUUUGGGCCGGGCCAAAUUGCCGUGCUUUGGACCGUGCCUCUGACCCAACAGGCUGCAUGCUUAUUUUUAUGUGCACCCCUCCCUCCCCACCCCCCGCAAAAAAAAAGCCGUUCCAAACUAGUUGCUGCCAUACAAAUUUUAUCGCUUUAGCCUCUCCCUAGCAACUUUUGUGAACAAAUUACCAGGCUUCCGCCAGUCGCCGGCAGCAUAGACGAGGUGUUUGGUGGCUGACUGGCCGGCGGCAAUGUCGUCGUCCGUGGUCGAAAAGAAGAAGAUGGCGUGCGUGACCGGCGGCAACGGGUACAUCGCCUCCGCGCUCAUCAAGAUGCUGCUGGAGAACGGGUACGCCGUCAAGACGACUGUCAGGAACCCCGGUUCGAUUAUCACUUGAUCCCUCUCUUGUCGUGUUUCGUCGCUGGUCGAUCGUACGUUUUCUGAAAAAACAAAAAUACUGGGGCACUGUGGAAUUUUUUACGUACUGUUCGAUAAUAUAAUUAUUGCUAAAAAAAUGACACUAUGUGAGCUAUAAGGGUAAUUAUUCAGUCCUCUCUUGAUUAAAUCUGAACCCCAGAUGACAUGUCCAAGAACUCCCACCUCAAGAACUUGAAGGCGCUCGGCCAUCUGGAGGUCCUCCGCGCCGACCUGGACCAAGAAGGCAGCUUCGACGAGGCCGUCGCUGGCUGCCACUACGCCUUCCUCGUCGCCGCUCCGGUUUGAACCUCGCGUCAGAGGAUCCAGAGGUGAGCAACCACCACGAAUGAUAAUCCGGACUCCGGAGUUGAUCGUUCCCAUGCCACGAUCAUCAAUCAGUACGUACUUCGCCGGUGGUUAUUUUUAUUUCAGAAAGAUGUGAUCGAGCCUGCUGUCCGGGGAACGCUGAACGUGAUGAGGUCGUGCGCGAGAGCCAGGACGUUGCGGCGCGUGAUCCUGACCUCGUCGUCGGCCGGCGUGUACAUCAGGCCGGAGCUGCCGCAGCAGGGGGACGACGACGACGGGCACGUCGUCCUGGACGAGGACUCCUGGUCCGACGUCGAGUACCUAAGAGCCGAGAAACCGCCGCUCUGGUGGGCCUACUGCGUGUCCAAGGUGCUCCUGGAGAAGGCGGCGUGCAGGUUCGCGGAGGAGCACGGCAUCAGCCUGGUCACCAUCUGCCCCGUCGUCACCGUCGGCGAGGCGCCGGCUCCGGUCGUCAACACCAGCGUCCCCCUCUGCCUCUCGUUUCUUACCGGUGAGCGAUGAGGAGGAUGUGAGGUCCCUGUCGUUGUGCUGGCACUAAUUGCGGUUGGCCGGUCUUUUUCAGGCAACGAGGCACUGCUCGCGGCGCUCAAAGGCAUCGAGAAGACCUCCGGCGGGGUGCAGCUGGUGCACGUCGACGACCUCUGCCGCGCCGAGCUGUUCGUCGCCGAGGAGGCGGCCGCCGCGGGGAGGUACAUCUGCUGCAGCCUCAACACGACCGUCGUCGAGAUCGCGCGUUUCCUGGCACGCAAGUACCCGCAGUACGGCGUGGAAACAAAUUUGUCGUAAGAAUAAUCGAGCCAACCGAUGAUGCUGAUUGAUCUGACGUCCUCAGUGAUGAAUAAAGAUUUUUGGUGGUUAUAUGUUCUUAUCUGAGAUCCUGUUUCUGAAAUCAAUGCAGCACCGACGACGACGAGCAGCUCCUGGAGAAGCCGAGAGUGAGCCUGUCGUCUGCAAAGCUGGUUGGGGAAGGGUUCGAGUUCAAGUACAAGACCCUAGACGAGAUAUACGGUGACGUCGUACGUCGAGUACGGCAAGGCACUGGGAAUUCUGCCCUACUGAUAUAGCGUGGAUAGUCUGAUGUGUAGCCCGUUUUGGGAUAGUCUAUUUUGUCAAUAUCUAUAUCUAUUCUACUUCUACAUCCAUCUAAUAUUAAAAGAAAAAAAUUAUGUCGUCUAUUUUUUUUUCAUCCAUCGGAUCAUCCCAUUAUGCCUCACUUUUCUCCAUCCUCAUCUCACAUUUGUUGCCACACACAUUUCUAAUCCAAGUUCAACACGGGAUCAUAUUUUUUUUCUAAUCUAAAACCUGCACGAUCUUAAUCUACGGCAAAACCACACGUUUCAAAUAGUGAAUGUCUAGCCAUGAUGCAGAGUCUGAUUCCAAAAAUAUAUCAGAAUAUAUGACAUAAUAGUUGUAUAAAUCUUCAAUCCAAAAGUCGUGACAGUAUAAUAAAUUGUAUGUUCUAUUGCAAUGUCUGGAUAUGUUUGCUAGUUAUUGAAAAAUAUGCUAGGGUUAAGUUAUCGAAUGGGAUGGUCUACUGUGCUAGCUAGUACUAGCAGAACUACAUACUCCCUCCAUACCAGAUUUAAGUGACGUUCUGGGCACCUGUUUAGAUUUCGUAAAGCAGCAAAAAUGGGCAUGGCGUUUUAGCCUCUGAAGAAGUCCGGCGAACUGGAAUGCCCCUGCCGCUUCGUUCGUCGCAGAGCAAAAAUGGCACAGGACGUGGGAUUUGAACCGCUGCCCUCGCCCACGCGCACCUCGAAACCACCCUAACCAGUAGAGAUGAGAGUCUUUCAUGUCUAGGAACACCUUCGGCUCCAUUUAAUAGGGGCUAAACCGGAAGAUUAGCCCUUAAUCAAUGACUCCUUGGUAAGCACAAUCAUGUUCUAAACGUCAUGUAAUCUUGGUACGGAGGGAGUAUCAGCUUGAGACCUUAGGAGAUAUAGAGGCCGGCCGGGCUAGACUACCUUAUUAGGGCCAUCGGCUGCUAGAGCACUCCAUUAAAUGGAUGGUGGGUUUCUCGGGUAUCUUAGGUUAAACUUGUAAAACCAAUAGUUUAGCAUUGCUUUCUCUAGGUUUAUUAGGUUGGUUCUAAUCUAAUUUGCAUCAAGUACAAAAGGUGCGUUUAGUUUGAAGGAUCAUCACGAAUGAGAUUUGACAAAUCUAGUUUCACUAGUUUAUUUUGUUCUGGGGCAACGAGGGACGAAACCAUCCCCAGGUGAAAUAUUUCUCCUAAAUCCAGCUGACUUGUGGCAAUAGCGACCGGAUUGAGUAGAGCACAACCACUAUUGAGGAUGGCAUGGCCCUAGGGCAAAGGCGACAAGGACAUAGUAGUGUCGGCACGGAACAAAAAGACAUCUCGACACAUGUGGUGCUCAUGGCGACGGUGUGAUGGCUCGGUGGAGCAUAUGUGGCGAAGGAGAGAGAUCAAGGAAGGAGAAGGUGUGGUAUUGGCUGACAUGUGGGGUCCCAAGACUAAAAGUGACUAAUGGCGUAGAAAACACCAUCCGCCUCAUGUCGUUUGAUCUUUCCGACCAAAUAAUAAGAUAAGACCGUUUGGUCCUUCCAACCAAGGCCUUGUGGAAUUUUACAAAAUAGAAAUAGUAGCACUUUUGUUUGAAUUUGACCAAUAUUAUCCAAUCAAACUAGUCUCAAAAGAUUUGUCUCGCAAAUUACAGAUAAACUAUAUAAUUAGUUAUUUCUUUUAUCUAUAUUUACUUAUUUAGUGCUCCAUGCAUGUGUUGCGAGAUUCGAUGUGAUGGGGAAUGUGAAAAAUGUUGCAAAUUAUUUUGGGAACUAAACAAGGCCCAAAUAAUAAAAUAAGAUGACCCCAUUCCCUUUUCGAUCAAACAAGAGCUGAGACAGUUCCAUCCUAAAAGCUAGGGAUGGAUUCAUUCCAUGGCACGUUGUCUCUCCUUACCAAACACAUGUGAAGGCAACAACUCCAUCUCAACUGUGUACAACGUGGACAUUGAUUUUACUCAAAUGGGAGGAGAAAAGUCCACAACGAAUCAAUAACAUCUGCCCUUUUUAUUUUAUUAUAUGUUUUUAUUAUUUUUAUUGUUAUAUAUGUAACCUCAAUAAUUGAGUCUGUGGUUUUUUUCUGUCAUAGCACAGAUGUAAAUACUCAUACAUGUACAUACCGAACCUACAAUGGACUAAUUUCGCAUUUCCUCAUAUGGGUGGAAACCAUGUCAAAGUAAAAGAAAUAGUAUCAAAAAAUAAAAUUGUGUUCUUGGGCUUGACUAGGGGGCUAAAUGGCCAGCAAGAAAACUCUUACUUUAAAGGCAUCAAUUUUUAACAUUUAGCCCAUUGAAGCAGCAUCAGUCAUAUAUCACCACUGACAACAUGGUGAAAAAGAAUAAAGGAGCAACGUACACUGUGGCAAUACUGGCACCGCACCACAGCAAGUUCUUGCUCCGACAAGAGGUUAAGAGCCUUGCUCAUAACCUUGUCAUAGUCGUUAAUGCCCGACUUUUGAAUAUAUAGCACCAAUCCGAGAAUUGACCCGCCGGUGAAGACGAUUUCCAACCGUCCCUCUUGAAUUGCCAACAGGGGGCGAAGGAAGCUUGUGCGUGCUAACUGAACACCUACCAACCGGUCAAGCGUUCGAACAAAAAAACCAACCGGUCAAGCGCAACGGACUGAAGUGUGUACUGUGUACGUGCUCCAUGAUAAAAUGCAGACUAGCAGCUCCAUGAUCAGAACUCACUCCUGCAUGCAAAUCGUAGCAAAAAAUAAAAUAUUUAGUGGCGAGUUCUCAUUUCCCCCAUUGCCAGGCGGAAGAGGAGGUGAUCGGCAAUGUCAGAGGGCGGCAGGAAGCAGAAGACGGCGUGCGUGACCGGAGGUAACGGGUACAUCGCCUCGGUGCUCAUCAAGAUGCUGCUCGAGAAUGGCUACGCCGUGAAGACGACGGUCAGGAACCCCGGUUCGUUCGGUUCUUCCCUAGCUAGCUAGUUUCCACACUAGAUUGAGCGUGAACAGUUGCAGUUUCUUGUGAUCCCGUGACAAAACUUUGUAUUAUUGUGAUCCUGAAUCGCAGAUGACAUGGCCAAGAAUUCCCACCUCAAGGACAUGCAGGCGGUCGGCCCCCUGACAGUCCUCCGCGCCGACCUGCUAGAAGAAGGCAGCUUCGACGAGGCCGUCGCCGGCUGCGACUACGCCUUCCUCAUCGCCGCUCCGGUGAACCUCCAUUCGAAGAAUCCUGAGGUGCACAAACGUCACCACUACCUACGACUUGUGAUUUUCACCUGCUCCGAUCCUUUGCUCAAAUGUGGUGGCGGUGACUGAACUGAUGGCAGAAAGAACUGAUCGAGCCUGCUGUCCGAGGAAUCCUGAACGUCAUGAGGUCGUGUGCCAAGGCAGGGACAGUGAAGCGCGUGAUUCUGACCUCGUCGGCGGCUGCAGUCGCCGGCAGGCCGUUGCAAGGCGGCGGCCACGUUCUGGACGAGGAGUCCUGGACCGACGUCGAGUACCUCACUGCCAAAAAGUCCAGUCACUGGGUAAUAAGGAAAUGGCACCAUAAAUGUCCUGUCCCCGUUCUCGUCCGAAUCGGAAGAAUGGCACCAUCCAUUUCUGCUGAUGACGAGUAUGGCACACCAUCCAACAUCCAUGUGCUUGCAUCGCAGGGGUACGGGGUCUCCAAGGUGCUCGCGGAGAAGGAGGCGUGCAGGUUUGCGAAGGAGCACGGCAUCAACUUCGUCAGCGUCUGCCCCGUCCUCACCGUCGGCGCAGCACCUGCCACAAAGAUGGACACGAGCCUCCACGCUAGCCUCUCCUGCUAUCCGGUCGCUUCCAAAUUCCCGUGUUUUGACUCCCAGUCAUUCAGCAGUGUUUUUCUCUGACAAUAAAUUAAUCAACAGUACUUUCUGCCAUGGCAGCCAAACGAACAAGAUAAUUCGCACGCUACAGUGCAUGUCUCAUGAGUCAUGUUCAUGGUUCACCGAUCGAAAUUUGCAGGCGACGAAGCAGCGUUCCGGGUGCUGAGAGGAAUCGAGAUGGCCACGGGCUGCAUGCCGCUGGUUCACGCCGCUGACCUGUGCCGUGCGCAGAUGUUCGUCGCCGAGGAGGACGCGGCCGCCGGGAGGUACAUCUGCUGCAGCGUCAACACCACCAUCGUCGAGCUCGCCCAUUUCCUGGCGGACAAGUACCCGCAGUACACCGUGAAGACACAUCUGCUGUAAGAAUAAGAAUCGGCCGGAUUUCGAUCACACCUACAGCUCUGGAUUCUGGAACAUAUUUUGCAGGGGACAGAUCAGUGACCGAAUAAUUCUCGCGCUUUAAUUUGCAGCUCCUCCGGGGUCCUUGAAAAGCCGAGAGUGAGCCUGUCGUCGGCGAGGCUGCUCGGCGAAGGGUUCAAGUUCAAGUACGAGACGCUGGACGAGAUCUACGACGACGUGGUGGCGCAGGGCAAGGCCCUGGGGGUUCUGCCCAACUGAUACUUUCUUUGCAUUGCAAAGCGAUCGAGAGCACCAAAUUAAAUAGCAAUGAAGUUGGGAAACAAAUAAAUUUGUUGUAUCUCUAUCCAUACGGUAGCUGAACUGUAGAGGUUCAGUCAGUUUGUGUAAAAGUGGGAUCUGUGCGUUUGUGUACUCCUGCAAUAUCUAUAUCUAUAUUUACAUAUAUAUACUUUUUUGUCUUAUUAAAAAGGAAAAUUUUCUCUCAUCCAAAUCUUCGUCCCGCACCAUCCACUGUUACUUUUCCUACAAAUGUUGAGUAUAUCAGAGUCCCCAAAUUCCAUAUGUCCUGAACUUUUUCGAAAGAUCAUAUGUCCUGAACUUUACGUGUUCAACACACCAAUUACGUAUUUCCACGGCCUGUACUUUGACGUUCAUCUUCAAUAUUAGCAGCGAAAGGAUUUUACAUAAAAAACACAUUGCUAGGGUUCUAGAUUUGAGGGCAGAAAACCAUUGGCUCCAAAAACCAAGCAAUUAGAAGGUAAGACAUGGCACACCCUGGCAAGACAUGCAUGGCACGCUCUUCCCGUUCUCAUCCUCGCACGCUGUUUGGCUGGAGGUCUGGGUGACUUGCCUGGAAAAAAAAUCUUGUACAGAAUGUCCGUUUGAUUGGAGGCCUGUGCUUUGAAUGUAUAAUAUUAUGUGUACUUAUGGUGUAUGAUAAACAUAUACUUUUAUAGUUUAACUCAAAUAAAUAGAUGAUCUAGAUUAGUGUUAUUUCCCCUUGUCUUAGAGAUUAAUAAGUAACAGCGACAAAGUAUUUGUUAAAAAAAAAUAUCCGUUCAAGGAAUCAAGCAACUAACUACCAAUAAGAGUAGUAGGGACCAGACAAAAGAAACAAUAAAGACGGCACAGACAAAAAAAAAAAAGCUAACAUGCAUAGAGCUGUUUCUUUCCUCUUAAUAAGCUAUAGUAGAAAAUAUUAUUUGUUUUAUAAUAAAAAAUACUACUAAAUGACUUAUAGAUUUGGCUAAUAAACUUAAGUGAACAGCACUUCAAUUUCAGUCGCCUCUGGACAUCGACGCGCUUGCCUGGUACAAGCACAGGGCAUUAACCAAACGUACACGAGGCAAGGCGUGCGCAAGGUCCGGACCAAGCAAUUCUGUCCCAGGGCCCUAAUGUACACGAAGGCAACGUCAUAGACGUAGACGUAGACGUAGGUAUCAAUGUUCAAACUUGCAAGCGAGGAGGGCCCAUCAUAAUUGAUCUCAAUAAUGAUGACAACGUUGAUACAGGCUCAGAAGUAGAUGCCUAAAAUGAUGUCCUGAAAAUGUAUAUGCAAGAUGUUUUAUGAAAGGAAGGUGGGCAACCAAAUUACAUCCUUCUCACCUAAACAUUUAUACCAGGUAAAUAAACUUUAGUAUCAUUUUCCUUUUUUUUGCUAUUUCAUCUAUACAACUUAAUAAUAAUAAUAAUAAUAAUAAUAAUAAUAAUAAUAAUAAUAAUAAUAAUAAUAAUAAUAAUAAUAAUAAUAAUAAUAAUAAUAAUAAUAAUAAUAAUAAUAAUAAUAAUAAAGAAAUAAAAUUUCUCACUGCUAAAAUUUUGUACGGCCUAGCCCGUCUCUUAUUUUCAAGGGCCCAACCACACCUCCUGACCAGUCACCCACUAAAGGCACACCAACUAAUGGGCUAUGCUAACUUGAGGCCCACUAAAGGCACACCAACCAAUGGGCUAUGCUAACUUGAGGCCCACUAAAGGCACACCAACCAAUGGGCUAUGCUAACUUGAGGUCCACGGGAAGUGCUUUCAAAUAUAGACAAAAUUUUUGGAACUAGCGUCAAAUGCUAACUAGAGGCACACCACAAAUAUAGACAACCUAGUUUGUAUUUGACAAAUAUUGUCCAAUACUAACUAGGUUUAAAAGAUUCGUCUCGUCAAUUCCGACCAAAAUGUGCAAUUAGUUUUUAUUUUUGUCUAUAUUUAAUACUCCAUGCAUGCGUCUAAAGAUGUGAUGUGACGGGAAAUCUGAAAAAUUUUACAAUUUUUUUUGGGAACUAAACAAGGCCUAAGUGUUGAAUUUAGCCUUAUUAAAUAUCAAUAUCUAUCAUUUCUGUUCCACCGUAUCGCCCAAUGCAACAAAUAAAGUGCCACUGGAGCAUGUUGCCAUGGGUGUGGGUUGGCUCCUGGAGGAAGAAUGAUAGGAUCGGAUUAUUAGCUUGAGUAUCCUGCUUUUUAAUCCUACUACUAUCAGACCAAUUGGCAUCGUCGCGAGGGUUCUCAACACGCGGCGUCUAUAUGAACUGACCUGGCGAUGCUCGAAGCCAUGCACUUUCAGGCGCCUCUCCAGGUUUGCCCCAUGGCUGACGCAUAUGGUUACACGGCGCCAUCCGGCAACGGGAGAGCAUCACCGUACCACCAAGUGCCUCAUUUGCUAAAUGAUGAAGUAGAUCUCACGUCUGUGCCUGAAAGUCCUCAGUGUCCUGUGAUUUUUAGUGACUACAGAGUAAUUCACUUUCUGGACACGUCAGUUUCAUCCCUUUAUUUACUAGCCUUUCGAAAAAGUUUCAUCCCUUUACUUCUAGUGUGGUGUCUAUAUAUAUAUAUAUAUAUAGCGAUGGCCCCCGACAGUUACAAGCCACCAAAUCGAAGACGACGACGGGUCUCAGUGUCAAUGCUCCCUGCCGAGAGAGCUUUUUGUGAGCCCUAUCUCGCAUGUCAUGAAAGAGAGGUUUUUCGCGAUCGAGAACGUGACUUGCACGUGUUUCAUUAAGAGUGAUAGUCAUGAGAGAGGUGGUCAGUUGUGAUCGGCGUAUAAUGGCAGCUGGCGACAUGAAGAGGACGGCGUGUGUGACCGGAGGGAACGGGUAUACAUCUGGGGAAUCUUUUCGUUCGAACGUUCGGACAAGAAACACGGUUUGAUUCUUGUCACGGUCUUUCUCGUCACGAGUUCCAACCAUAGAGCGACAGCUACACAGCUGAGCGACUGUACGCAGCGAAGCUAGAGAAAAUUUAAGGACGGUGCACUUACUUUAUGAAUGUAUAGAUUUUUUUAAUAAACAGGAGAGGUCUGUGGAGGUACAUAUAUAUAGUGAAAAAUUGGUCACUAUAACUGAUUUUUAAAAUUUUAGGAAUGUAUAGGCACCUCCUAAUGACACUGCAGCUUCACCCAUGUAUGUUUCUUUUCCUUUUUCUUCUCGGGACGGAUGGACAGGUAGUUGACUUUCUUCUUAUUUGUAACGCUUGCUAGUUUGUAGUGGUUGGCUUGCGUUAGUUUCUUUUCUAUUUCUUUUUUCCUUUUUUGUUUUAUGUAUUUUUUAUUAUUUUCUCAUUUCUUAUAUUUUUAUGUUUCUUUUUAUUUCUUUUUUCUAUUUUCUCUUUUUUUUCCUCUUUUUAUGUUCCCACGAUGUGCAUGUUCUAUUUUUAUCUUUUUCCUCUUCUUUUGAAUUCUCUUCAUUGUUUUUCUUUGCUUCUAUUUAUUCUUACCUUUUCUUUUCCUAUUAGUUUUUUAUGUUUUUUCAUUCUUAUUUUUUCUUUUCCCGCCCCUAUUUCAGUUAUUCAUUUUUUAUUUGUUCUAUAUAUUUUAUCCUUGUUAAUAAUAUUUUUGUUUCUUUUUCUAAUUAUGUUUUUCUUUGAUCCAUGUUUUUUAUUUUUUAUAUUUCUUUAUUUUAUUCCUUUUCUUUUCGUGUAUAUUUCUUUUUUCUUUUCUGCUUUUAUUAUUAUUAUUAUUAUUAUUAUUAUUAUUAUUAUUAUUAUUAUUAUUAUAUGUUUCAUAUUUUUAAUGAUAUUUAUUUUCUUAUUAUGUAUUUUGCGAUGUUCGCCUAAUCUACAUGUGAUAUUCUUGUAAUAUACAUGAGAUGUUUUAUGACGUUUUUUGUGAUGUUCACACAAUAUACAUAUGAUGUUCUAUGAUGUAUUUAGUGAUGUUCACGUAAUAUAUAUGCGAUGUUCUAUAAUGUAUUUAGUGACGUUCUAUGGCAUAUUUUAGUGAUGUUCACUUAGUAUAUAUGUGAUGUUCUAAGAUCUAGUUAGUGAUGUAUAUGUGAUGUUCUAUAAUGUACUUGGUGAUGUUUUAUGGUGUAUUUUGUGAUAUUCACUUAGUAUAUAUGUGGUAUUCUAUAAUCUAUUUUAGAAUGUUUAAAAAUUAUCCGUGUGAUAUUUUUUAAAUUUUUCUCUGUUACAUCUUAAUUUUUUAUUAUGCUUUGGUCUAGAUUUUAUGUUUUAUUUAUGCUAGAUAUUUAUUUAUUUAUUUUUAUAUAUAUUAUAAUACCAAUAUCAUGCAUUUAAACUAAACAUUGUUCUUCUAAACUAAGAAUAUUUUUCUUACAAAGACGGAACAUUGUUCUCUGAACUUGGAACAUUUUCUCUGCUUAAUAAAGAAAAUAAUCUAUUUUCAUAAGAUAAAUAUUUAUCAAUAAAAAAUUAUCUAAAUAUAUCUAUGUAAGUCUUGUUUUAAAGAAUUUAUUAAAAAACCAAAUGAUUUAUUUAAAAUUUAAUUUUAUAUGUUUGGUUUAAUAUUUACGACUUUUUUUUAAUAAAAACGUAUGACAUCACCUCAUGCAAAUCAUCAAGCAAAUAAAAUAAUCAUUUGCAUGCAGGCUAGUGUCCUUAUCCGUCCAGUGCGCCAUCCUCUGGUGGUUGGAAAAGUUCUUUUUCCUAUGCUCCUGUGAGGCUCACGAGAACAAGUAUUACAGUGGGCUGUAAGCUGGCUAAAUGCUGAGGUGGAGGAGAGAAGAGAGGAGAGAGAGGAGAAGCAGGCUGUAAGCUUACAGCCAGCUUAGGUACAGGAAUCAAGAAACUUUGUGAGAGAGAUAAGUGGGACAUAUAUUAAUAGUGAAUAGCUAACUAUUGUAUGGAUGGGCUGAGAGAAGGCUGCAAAAAACCUUACAGCCAGAUAUUAUUAAACUUGCUCUCGCUGCGAGCGCCGGAGGGAAAUUUAUCGGCGCGAAGCCCAAGGAACCGCACGUUUCCUCUGUUCGCACGCUUUCCUAGCCAGGGAUAGGUGGAGACACUGUAGGCAAAAAAAGAAGUCUCGUCAAUUUUUUAUUAAACUGUGCAAUUACUUCUUAUUUUCGUUUAUAUUUAAUACUCUAUAUAUGUGUCUAAAAAUUCGAUGUGACAGGAAAUCUAAAAAAUUUUACAAAAUUUUUUAAAACUAAACAAAGCCACUAUCGAACGCAUAUUUCGGUCCGCCCAUCGAACGCUAGCAGCCCUCAGUAUACAUCCCUCCGCGAUCAUCAAGGGCCCGUUUGGUUGCCCGUAUAAGACCAUACAUGCAUCUCGGGAUACAUCGUGACCCUGUUUGGUUGUCUGCAUGCAGCUUUGGACCAGACAUUGGGCAUGCAAAAAGAAGCCCUCAGCCAGGCUGGAGGAACGCCCGAAUCGGCCGUUCCUGGCCAGCCAGACUGGGCAAAUGCAGCCGUUUACGUGGCUAGCGGUGUAUUAGUGCGUGAUUAGUAAAUAUCAAGUGAUAUUACUGUAUUUUAAAGUUGAUUAAGAUAUAAUUAGAUAAAAUAAGAUCUGUAAGAGUGUAUUCAUACACAAAUAAAAAUUAUAAUCAUAAUUUUAUAAUAUUUUUAUCUCAUACAGUUUACCUUCAUAUAGAUAACCAAACAGCAUCUAAUCAGAGUCUGACUUCACAUAUGCAUACAACCAAACUAAACUUCCUUUAUGUAUUUGGUCUGGUUGGGAUGAGAAGGGAACCAAAUAGGCCCCAAGAUGCUGCUGGAGAAGGGCUACAUCGUGAAAUCGGUAAUGAUAUGUAUAAGACGUCCGGACGGACGGACGCUGCUGUCCACUCGUUUUAUCCGAUUCACUCGUUGCCUUCUUCUCUCCCUCGCGCUGCUGUCCACACGUUUUAUUCACUACUUUUCAUCUUCUCUGGCCGCUCCACUUCUCUUGCCACACACGUCCGCACUCUACUACGCCGCUGGCUAGCCAUCCCUCUCUCUCCCUUCCUCCCUUCCUCACCUCGCUACAACCUCCAUGUCUCCAUGCCACCGGAGUGGGGGCGGCGACGGUGGCUUGCAGCAAGCCGCACGUCUCCCUAUCUUCGUACUCUCUUCCUCGCUCGGCGACCUCCAUGGAUGACGGCGCACCUCCAAUGAGGUAGGUGGGGACGAUUUGGAUCUGAGGUCUCUCUUUCCCCUUCCUCCUCCUAUGGAUCUAGAUCUAAGCCCUCCUCUUCUUCUUCUUCUGUGGAUCUAGAUCUGAGCCCUCCUCCCUCCUCCUCCACGUUCUUCAACUCUGCUCCUCCUCCUCCUACUUCUCCUUUGGGUCUGGAUCUACGUGAUGUGGUGGUGGUUAAGAUUUCGAUGAGCUUUUGGGUUUCAGCGUUCGCGCAUGUUGUAAUGGUGUUCUCUGCUUGUUGCAGUACGUUUUCAAGUGAUGUUGCAGUAGGGUAGGAUUUUGACGAGCUCUCAGGUUCAAGUCUCGUCUUCAUUGCAAUGGUUCUCUCUAGACGUUGCAGUAGGUUUCAGUCGUUUGUUGCAAUACUGUGUUUCAAGAUGUUGUUUCACUUGCUUCAAUCUGCAUGUUCUAGUAGUUUUCUUUCAUGUUGUCGCAGCAGUUGUUCGGUGUUGUUGUAGUACUAUGUCCAUGGUGUUUCAGUUGCUCCAUCUAAUGUUUCAAUCUUCACUGUUGUAUUAGUUGUUGCAUGUUGUUGCAACAGCUGUUCGGUGUUUGUUGCACUACUAUAUCCAUGGUGUUUCGGUUUCUCCACCCAAUGCUUCAAUCUAGCUGUUGCAUUAGUUGUUACAUGUUGUUGCAACAGUUGUUCGUUGUUGUUGUAAUACUAGGUUUCAUGGUGUUUCAGCUGCUCCAUCCAAUGCUUCAAUCUGUAUGUUGUAGUAGUGUUUGCAUGUUGUUGUAGUAGGUGUUCAGUGUUUGUUGUAAUACUAUGUUUUAUGGUGUUUCAGCUACUUCAACCUAUUGUUGUAGUAGUAUAUCUAUGUUGUUGUACUAUCACGCGCAUUGUGUUGCAGCGUUAAGUCUAUGGGGUAGGCUAUCGGGACGAGUUGACGAUGGGCAGAUGUGCUAGGGACCGGUGAGACGAGGGGCGAGGUGGAUCCGGUGCUCGCGGUGGUGGGGACGGGCUCCUUGUCUGGGGAGCGGACGAAGAGCAGUCCUCCGUGCGGGGCAAGUAGAGCAGAGCGCGAGAUGGUUGCAGACGGACGGUUUCCCUUCUUUUUCUUUUUUUUUUCUUUUUGCGGGUGGGGGCUCGACGUACGGAUGUGUUGUUGACGCUUUUUUUUAUUUUCUAUGGAUGGCGCGGGUUGGAGGCUCGGCGUCCGGAUACGGUACUGGCGCCGGACGUCCGGGCGCUAGGUCAAAGAACCCAGUCCGGAUCACGGUUCGACCCAUCCCAGAGUCCCGUCGCCCCGGCCUUGUUUAGUUUCUCAAAAACUAAAAAAUUUUCAAGAUUCUCCAUCAUAUCAAAUCUUACGGCACAUGCAUGAAGCAUUAAAUAUAGAUGAAAAUAAAAACUAAUUAUAUAGUUUUUCUGUAAAUCAUGAGACAAAUCUUUUAAAACCUAGUUACUUCAUGAUUAGAUAAUAUUUGUCAAAUAAAAAUGAAAAUAUUAUAAUAUCAUAAUUAAAAAAAAUUAGAUCUAAACAAGACCUAAUAUCACGUCUGCUAUUGUUUCUGCAGCUCCGUUUCUCCAUGGAUGAAGGAGACGCCGCCGUGGCGACUGGCGACCAUUCUGGAGCAGCGCGCGGCAACCGGCCGACAGAACGAGCAAACGGUGCACCUUUCGAUUUGGCGUGAGGAGGUUCCUUAAGCCAUGUGCCAUUUGUUUGCUUGCCUGUUCCUGAGUCUUGGAAUACGCUAGCCGCAGCUUCUGUGUAAGAUUUUUUUUUCUCCAAGUCAAGGCAUACUAACGUUGAGCAGCUUUUUUCUCAUGCAGUGAAUGAUUUUAGGUCUAGGCCUUGUUUAGUUGUGAAAAGAUUUCGAAUUUUGAUACUGUAGUACUUUAGUUUAUAUUUGAUAAUUAUUGUCCAAUUAUAGAUUAACUAGGCUGAAAAGAUUCGUCUCGUAAUUAAAUUACAGAUAAACUGUGCAAUUAGUUUUUGUUUUCGUCUAUAUUUAGUGCUUUAUGCAUGUGCCACAAGAUUUGAUGUGACGGAGAAUCUUGAAAAGUUUUUGAAUUUCGGGGUGAACUAAACAAAGCCUUACUGUGAAUACAUUUGAAUAUCUGAGAACAAGACCAAUAUUGAGCAUUCAAGUAUGUUACUUAAUCAUUCAAAUUCCAAAUGGAGAAGAUGGGUCCAGUUCAUCUGUCAAAUUUGUCAGUUCAGAUAUUAGACACUGGUAAAGUGCAACGCAGCCAAAAGCAAGACAACAGACUCAUAGUCAUUACGUGGCGUUGAUAAUAGAAUUACAUUUUCACAGAUAAUGUUACUCAACAUUAUGACACUCAUCAGUGAUAAGGAGGCAAUAGGAGCACGCCAACAACAAACUAUUUUUCUAAUAAUUGAACAAAAGAGCAUCAGUUGAUGGAGACUGUUAGGACUCUUGCACUAUAUUAUGAAGAACUUGAUGAAUGUCAUCACUGAAAUGUUGUUUUGACGAUAGACUUUCAGCAUUUUUGACAUAGUUGAAUAUCACUGGACAUUUUUCUGAUGGUGAGCAGUUCCCGCGCUAUCUCCUUCUUGGACAUCCCGCCGUAUGCCUGCAAAGUGUGCAAACCGAGAAAUUGUAGGCAGCAAGCGGUGGAUGUUCAGAACCACAACAACAUUUACAAUGGUACAUGUUAGCAUCAUAUACCUGGAAACGGCAUGAAUUUGAAGAACACACGCCGUGUUACAGAAGAAAUGCAGACUUUUACUUUCUCAUAAGUCAUAAGCUAGGUAACAGCGCCACAACAGAAUAGACUUCUGCACCUUAUCGUCACCUAGAGCUCUCCCACCACAAAAACAGACUCCUGCAGCUUAUCAUCACCUAGAGCUCUCCAAAAUCCAAACAGACUGUAUUCUAUUGUUACAUUCGGCUUUACACAAUUCAAAAGCACCAAACAUGAAAGCUGCACGUAGAAAACAAUGAUAAUAUGAACCUAUGAAAGGUGCAUACAAAAUAGAAGUUCCAACUUAGAUAUAACAAAUUCAUGGAUCGAGAUGCAAUUUCACCUUUGUUUGCAAAUUUCUAAUCUCAAUACAGAGUCUCAUGCACAGAACAUGUCAAAGGCUAUUUGUUGUUGCAGAUGAAGGAAAAUUAUACUUCACUACCACCACUUCUAGUUUCAGUAGGAGCUGACGCAUCAAUAUCUCCAAAAUGGCAUGGUAGCCUAAUUCAGAACUAUUUUAACAAUACCAAGAACCAGGUGAGCCGACAAAACAUAUGUAGCAGCGACUGAAACUGCGGUGCAAGUGCAACGACGACAGCUCCUGGGCUCUGCCACAACCCUCGGUCAAACAUCUGACGCUAAAAAUUAUAUUAUCAAUAGAUGAUCAGUCGCUAAAGAUAACUCAUAGGCUAUCUGUUGCUAAUUCCCUAUUUACUAGUUGAACGCCCGUUGCUAUAGACAUUCAUAUUUACUAUUGGGCCAUCAGUUGCUUAAAAUAGAUAUACUGCCGAUCAGUUGCCCCAUGUCCAACUCAUGAGCCCACGCCUCCAUCCAGCUCACGCACAAAUUUUAACGUGGCCUACACAAUGACAAACCCUAGACUCUUCUCUCCUCAAAUCUCAAAUCUAGAGAAGUGUUGCCACUUGUUCUUUCCUCUCCCAUAGCUGCCGCCAUUUUUUUCUCUCCCGCCACGCUCCACUCUCUCUCCAUCCCUUCCUAUUCCAAUUUGCCGGUCUCUUUAUCCCACUUGACUACGCGUCGUCUCCCUUCCAAAUCCCGCGCCACCCACCCCAAAUUCCCCCUAGGCCUCUCUGCUGGAGAAUAUGAGAUGCAACUCAUGCAAGAAGAUCGGAGGGAUGGGGUAGGGGUACCAUGCCACCCUUGGCCCGCUGGGUGGUGGCACACCGCCGUCAUCAUCGAUAGCUGCCACCGCUGCAUCACUCGCGCAAAAUUGAAUGGCACCGCCGGAUCUCAUUGCAAUGGAAUGACACCGGGGGUCCAGCAGGAGAUGGAGAUUCAGAUCGACUUGGAGUUGUCUGUGGAGCACACAAUAUCUUGCAAAUGCAUAUUCUUGCGCAUGAGAAUCUCUCUUGUGCUCAAUCUAUCCUUGAGGAGAAGCCAGAAGAAAUUCCCCUUUUGUUCUAAUAGGCUGGCUUCCACAACCACCGAUAAAUAGGGUGAAUUUAUCUAUGACCCACAAGAUGUUUAUAAAAUCUCUGACAAGAGAACAUAUUAGAUCCCCAGAUAUAAACUCAUUUAUUUGGUUCACCGGUAGUCUGAAAGUUCAAAGUUAGAAUGAAGUCUUGAUACCGCUGAAAAGCCCCCUCUAAAAGGGGGAGAUGGAACAAGUCAUGUAGAGGGUGAUCUAUAAAGCAUGAGAGACUGAGAGGUUUCUUUCUUCACAUAAGAAAAGAGCUUUGGAUAUUUGGCACUUAGAGGCUCCCUAACCCAAUUGUCAGUGCUUAGCAGGUAGAACCAUCAGCUAACUAAGUAGAAGCUAAACCAUUGAAGGGGGAUAAUAGCUUAAGUAUGUCCCUCCACUAGAAAGGGGCUCCCGAUAUUGACACUGGUAGUUGAUCAUUGGAAUAAUAUUUCUGCCAAAUAAGUUUCAACCAAGAUAUAUCUCUAUUGUAGAACUUAUGCAAGUGCUUCAUUGGUAAGUUUUCAUUUUGUUUCUUGAGAUCAAGUACCCCUAAACCCCCCUCAUCGUUGGUAAAUAGACCAUAGGCCAAGCAACUUAUUUAGGUGACUUUUUUGUUAUUGAUGUCAUUGCCACGCCAAAGGCAGUGCUUCCUAAUUUUGUCAAGUUGCUUGAUAACUAUUUUAGGAAGAAGAUAUGUGCAAAUAGUGAAGGUUGGUAGAGUAGUGAAAACUGGUAGUAAGCUCCAACCAACCUGCUUGACUUAGAAAAUUGGAUGUACUAACAAGCCUCCUUUCACAUCUAGAAACUAAGGGCCAGAAGUCCACCACCGAGGGUUUUGUCAAACUCAAUGGGAGCUCAAGAUAAAUGAAGGGCAGACUUCCUUUAAAACACUGAAAUGUAUUAACCAAAAUAUAGAACCAGUCAUCAGAUACAUCAAUAGGGACCAUCAUAGAUUUUGUAAAGUUGACCUUAAGACCUGUAAAUUCUGUAAAGGAAUUCAAUAAAAUCUUGAGAAAGAACAAUUGUCUAGCACAACCUUGCAUAAAAAUUAGGGUAUCAUUAGCAUAGUAAGUCUGGACAAUGAUUGAGUGACAGUGGAAGAGCAAGAAGGCCCUAAUCUUUGGCAGCAUUCAAAUGGACCGUAACAAAUCAGCUGUCAGCACAAACAAAAGUGGUGGCAGAGGGUCACCGUGCCUUACCCCACGCUUGCAAUGAAAAACCUUGAAAGGGACACCUAGGAUAUAUAUUUAUUACUAUAUACUACUACUGAAUGCAAAGAUAACAAGGACGUCAAGAAUCUGAAUGCUUACUGGAAAUGAUUGUGGCAAGACUGGCACUGCACCGCAACCGGAGCUCUUAGUUGUUGCUCUGACAAGAGGUUAAGAGUCUGGCUCAUAAACUUUUGAUACUCAUUAGUGACACAACCUGGGUGAUAGAUAAAAUGCCCGUCACUUUUGAAUGUAGCACCAACCUGUCUAGUAUCUGUUCAUGACCCGCCGGUGAAGACGAUGCCAACCGUCCGUCUCCAGUGCCAACCGGUCAAGCGUAACAAACUGAAGUGUGUACUGUGUACGCACUCCAUGAUAAAUGCAGGCUCCUCAGUCGGGACAGUCAGCAAACAGAACUCACUGCUGCAAUCCUAGCGAAAAAUAAUUAGUGGGCGAGUUCUCAUUUUCCUCAUUGCCAGGCGGAAGAGGAGGUGAUCGGCAAUGUCAGCGGGUGCCAGGAAGAAGACGGCGUGCGUGACCGGAGGUAACGGGUACAUCGCCUCGGUGCUCAUCAAGAUGCUGCUGGAGAAAGGGUACGCCGUGAAGACGACGGUCAGGAACCCCGGUUCGUUCAGUUCCUCACUAAUUUCCACACUUCAGCCUGAACACUUGAACUUGAAUUUCUUGUGAUCCCAUCCCAUGACACUUGAACUUGAAUUUCUUGUGAUCCCAUCCCAUGACUCCAUGACAAAAUGGGAUAGGAAUUGUACGUUGACAGUGGCUGGUUUAGGCUCUGAUUCUGAACGUGUUGUGCAUUGUGAUUCUGAAUAAUCCCAGAUGACAUGGAGAAGAGCUCCCACCUCAGGGACCUGCAGGCGCUUGGCCCCCUGGAAGUCCUCGGCGCCGACCUGGACAAAGAAGGCAGUUUCGACGACGCCGUCGCCGGCUGCGACUACGCCUUCCUCGUCGCCGCUCCA
rnacentral:lncRNA from 1 species